rnacentral:misc_RNA from 1 species
GAUGAAGAACGCAGCGAAAUGCGAUACUUGGUGUGAAUUGCAGAAUCCCGUGAACCAUCGAGUCUUUGAACGCAAGUUGCGCCUCAAGCCAUUAGGUUGAGGGCACGUCUGCCUGGGCGUCACAUAUCGUUGCCUGAUGCCAGUUUCCUCGUGAUGGGUGACUGUGCAGGGCGAAUGAUGGCUUCCCGUGAGCAUUGUCGCCUCAUGGUUGGUUGAAAAUUGAGUCCUUGGUAGGGAGCGCCGUGAUAGAUGGUGGUUGAGUGACGAACGAGACCCAAUCAUGUGAGACCCCUACCGAAUUUGGCCUUCAUGACCCACAUGCGUCUUUGGAACGCUCAUGACGAGACCUCAGGUCAGGCGGGGCUACCCGCUGAGUUUAAGCAUAUCAAUAAGCGGAGGA